UACGGAGGGGGCUAGCGUUGUUCGGAAUUACUGGGCGUAAAGCGCGCGUAGGCGGACCUGCAAGUCGGGGGUGAAAGCCCGAGGCUCAACCUCGGAACUGCCUUCGAUACUGCGGGUCUCGAGUCCGGGAGAGGUGAGUGGAAUUCCUAGUGUAGAGGUGAAAUUCGUAGAUAUCGGGAGGAACACCAGCGGCGAAGGCGGCGACCUGGGUAGAUACUGACGCUGAGGUGCGAAAGCGUGGGGAGCAAACAGG
rnacentral:rRNA from 1 species